rnacentral:rRNA from 1 species
GGAGGAAAGUAGGGGAUCGCAAGACCUUGCGCUUUUGGAGCGGCCGAUGUCUGAUUAGCUAGUUGGUGAGGUAAAGGCUUACCAAGGCGUCGAUCAGUAGCUGGUCUGAGAGGACGACCAGCCACGCUGGGACUGAGACACGGCCCAGACUCCUACGGGAGGCAGCAGUGGGGAAUUUUGGACAAUGGGGGAAACCCUGAUCCAGCCAUGCCGCGUGAGUGAAGAAGGCCUUCGGGUUGUAAAGCUCUUUCAGCCGGAACGAAACGGUCACGGUUAAUACCCGUGACUACUGACGGUACCGGAAGAAGAAGCACCGGCUAACUACGUGCCAGCAGCCGCGGUAAUACGUAGGGUGCGAGCGUUAAUCGGAAUUACUGGGCGUAAAGCGUGCGCAGGCGGUUUUGUAAGUCAGAUGUGAAAUCCCCGGGCUUAACCUGGGAACUGCGUUUGAAACUACAAAGCUAG